AAACCUGCAGUUGCCUGGUCAGUGGAUCCCAUGUGCAGAGGGCGAGACGGGGCCCUGGCCAGGCGUUGGGAGGCGGGAGGCUCGGCCGGCGCUCCGGGUGAGGAUGGCACGCCCCCGCCCUUGCUUCUGCGCACAGGGAAGACAUUCGGCCCCGAACUUGGGGCUCAAAACGGUUCAGUUCGCUGCCUUUCCCAUCCUGACCCAGCCCCGGGUUUUUUCCGAAGCCGCCGCUGGAUAGGUUGCAUUACUAGGCUUCCCCCAGCCACUCUCCCUGCCCAAAGCCUUCAGAAGCCGCCCCUCUCCCCUUCACCUGGCCCUUAUCCACUGUCCCAGCCUCAUUUCUUUCCCCCUCCCUGAAUGUCUUCUGCUCCCCUUUCCUUGGGCACUGCCCUUAUCCUGGGGUCCUGGCUGCUGCCAUUCCUGGCCCUGGAAAACCAGUGCGGAACCCAAAGAAAGGUGGAAGAGCAGCUUUUAGAGAGGUGUUUUUAUUCUUUGGGGACAAAGCCGGGUUCUGUGGGUGUAGGAUUCUCCAGGUUCUCCAGGCUGUAGGGCCCAGAGGCUUAAUCAGAAUUUUCAGACAAAACUGGAACCUUUCUUUUUUCCCGUUGGUUUAUUUGUAGUCCUUGGGCAAACCAAUGUCUUUGUUCGAAAGAGGGAAAAUAAUCCAAACGUUUUUCUUUUAACUUUUUUUUUAGGUUCAGGGGCACAUGUGUAGGCUUGCUAUAUAGGUAAAUUGCAUGUCACCAGGGUUUGUUGUACAGAUUAUUUCAUCAUCCAGAUAAAAAGCAUAGUACCAGAUAGGUAGUUUUUUGAUCCUCACCCUCCUUCCAUGCUCCGACCUCAGGUAGGCCCCAGUGUCUGCGGUUCCCUUCUUUGUAUCCAUGUGUACUCAAUGUUUAGCUUCUACUUAUAAGUGAGAACAUGUGGUAUUUGGUUUUCUGUUUCUGAGUGAGUUCAUUUAGGAUAAUGGCUUCCAGCUCCAUCCACGUUGCUGCACAGGACAUGAUCCCAUUCUUUUUUAUGGCUGCAUAGUAUUCCAUGGUGUAUAUGUGCCACAUUUUCUUUUUUUUUUUUUUAAGGCAGAGUCUCGCUUGGUUGCCCAGGCUGGAGUGCAGUGGCAGGAUCUCGGCUCACUGCAACCACCACCUUCCAGGUUCAAGCGAUUCUCACGCCUAGGCCUCCCAAGUAGCUGGGAUGACAGGUGCUCGCCACCACGCCUGGCUAAUUUUCGUAUUUUUAGCGGAGACGGAGUUUCUCCAUGUUGGCCAGGCUGGUCUCAAACUCCUGACCUCAGGUGAACCACCCGCCUCAGCCUCCCAAAGUGCUGGGAUUACAGACAUGAGCCACCACUCCCUGCCACCACAUUUUCUUUAUCCUUUCUACCACUGAUGGACAUUUAGUUUGAUUCCCUGACUUUGCGAUUGUGUAUAGUGCUGCCGUGAACAUUUGUGUAUAUAUGUCUUUAUGACAGAAUGAUUUAGAUUCCUUUGGGUAUAUAACCAAUAAUGGGAUUGCUGAGUCAAAUGGUAAUUCUGUUUAAUCAUGUCCCAUUUGUCAAUUUUUGCUUUCGUUACAAUUAUUUUUGGGAUCUUUGUCAUGAAAUCUUUUUCCGUUCCUAUGUCCAGAAUGGUAUUGCCUAGGUUAUCUUCCAGAGUUUUUAUAGUUUGGGGUUUUACAUUUAAGUCUUUAAUCCAUCUUGAGUUGAUUUUUGCAUAUGGUGUAAGGAAGUGGUUCAGUUUCAAUCCUCUGCAUAUGGCUAGCUAGUUAUCCCAGUACCACUUACUGAAUGGGGAAUUCUUUCCCCAUUGCGUAUUUUUGUCAACUUUGUCAAAGAUUAGAUGGUUGUAGGUGUGUAGCUUUAUUUCUGGGCCCUCUAUUCUGUUCCAUUGAUCUAUGUGUCUGCUUUUGUACCAGCACCAUGCUUUUGUACCAGUAUCAUGCAGUUUUGGUUACUGUAGCCCUGUAGUAUAGUUUGAAGUUGGGUAAUGCGAUGCCUCCAGCUUUGUUCUUUUUGCUUAGGAUUGCUUUGGCUUUUUGGGCUCUUUUUUGGUUUCAAAUAAAUUUUAAUGCUUUUUUUUUCUGAUUCUGUGAAGAAUGUUAUUGGUAGUUUGAUAGGAAUAGCAUUGAAUCUAUAAAUUGCUUUGGGUAGUAUGGCCAUUUUAACAAUAUUGAUUCUUCCUAUCCAUAAGUAUGGAAUGUUUUUCCAUUUGUGUCAUCUCUGAUUUCUUUCAGCAGUGUUUUGUAAUUUUUGUUGUAGAGAUCUUUCAUCUCCCUGGUUAGCUGUAUUCCUAGGUAUUUUAUUCUUUUUGUGGCAAUUGUGAAUAGGAUUGCAUUCUUGAUUUGGCUCUCAGCUUGGAUGUCGUUGGUGUAUAAAAAUGCUACCAUAUUUUGUAUAUUGAUUUUGUCUCCUGAAAGUUAGCUGAAGUUGUUUAUCAGAUCUAGGAGCUUUUGGGCCAAGAUCAUGGGGUUUUCUAGAUAUAGAAUCAUAUCGUCUGCAAACAGAGAUACUUCGACUUCCUUUCUUUUUGGUUGCCUUUUAUUUCUUUCUCUUGCCUGAUUGCUGUGGCGAGGACUUCCAGUACUAUGUUGAAUAGGACUGAAGUGCCUUGUUCUACUUCUCAAGAGUAAUGCUCCAGCUUUUGCUCAUUCAGUAUGAUGUUGGCUGUGGUUUUGUCAUAGAUGGCUCUUAUUAUUUUGAGGUAUGUUCCUUCGACGCCUGGUUUGUUGAGGGUUUUUAACAUGAAGUCAAGUUGAAUUUUAUCAAAAGCCUUUUCUGUAUCUAUUGAGAUGAUACGUGAGUUUUGUUUUUAGUUCUGCCAAACCUUUUCUUUUAAAGCCCAACGAAUAAAACCCAUCACCUUUCACAAGACCACCACAGCAAGUAGGCAGGAAUGCCAGUGUUAAAAGUGAAAUCUUUUGAAUUUGUAGUACCUUUCCUUUUCCAAAUCUAGCUGAAAUUUCUCACUUGUUUUCCUUUUGAUGAAGCUAACCACCGGCAUUUCUCCUAAGAAAUGGAUAUAAAAAAAGUUUGAUAUGGUUAAAGUAAGAAGUGCUAGCUCCUAGAAUAUCUCUGGAUAUUGCUGUCCCUUGUUACAGAGCAUGAGCCCUGCCCAAAGACUGGAGUGUAAUGGCAUAGAAAAGGUCAGGAGCCCACUGAGCCAGAAGUAUAGGAGGCUUGCGACAAAGUUUAACAGGGGCCUGUUGCUAUCACUGGGUGGAGGGACAGAUGGGAGAACACUCACACCAUGGAAUCUUAGGCAGCCAUUAAUAAAAAUAAGCCACACUG
rnacentral:lncRNA from 1 species